rnacentral:rRNA from 1 species
GACGAACCGUCCAAACGUUAUUCGGAAUUACUGGGCUUAAAGGGUGCGUAGGCUGCGCUGUUAGUCAGGUGUGAAAUCCCUCAGCUUAACUGAGGAAUAGCGCCCGAUACUGCAGUGCUGGAGGGAGACAGGGGUAAGCGGAACUGAUGGUGGAGCGGUGAAAUGCGUUGAUAUCAUCAGGAACACCGGUGGCGAAAGCGGCUUACUGGGUCUCUUCUGACGCUGAGGCACGAAAGCUAGGGGAGCGAAC